rnacentral:rRNA from 1 species
GGCCAGACUCCUACGGGAGGCAGCAGUGGGGAAUAUUGCACAAUGGGGGAAACCCUGAUGCAGCGACGCCGCGUGAGUGAAGAAGUAUUUCGGUAUGUAAAGCUCUAUCAGCAGGGAAGAGAAUGACGGUACCUGAGUAAGAAGCCCCGGCUAACUACGUGCCAGCAGCCGCGGUAAUACGUAGGGGGCAAGCGUUAUCCGGAUUUACUGGGUGUAAAGGGAGCGUAGACGGCAGUGCAAGUCUGAAGUGAAAGCCCCGGGCUUAACCCGGGAAUUGCUUUGGAAACUGUACGGCUGGAGUGCUGGAGAGGUAAGCGGAAUUCCUAGUGUAGCGGUGAAAUGCGUAGAUAUUAGGAGGAACACCAGUGGCGAAGGCGGCUUACUGGACAGUAACUGACGUUGAGGCUCGAAAGCGUGGGGAGCAAACAGGAUUAGAUACCCUGGUAUA